rnacentral:rRNA from 1 species
UACGUAGGGGGCUAGCGUUGUCCGGAAUCAUUGGGCGUAAAGAGCGUGUAGGCGGCCCGGUAAGUCCGCUGUGAAAGUCGGGGGGCUCAACCCUCCGAAUGCCGGUGGAUACUGUCGGGCUAGGAGUGCGGAAGAGGCGGAAGUGGGAAUUCCUGGGUGAUAGCGGGUGGAAAUGACGCAGAUAUCAGGAGGAACACCGAUUGCGAAGGCAGCUCGCUGGGACGUUACUGACGCUGAGACGCGAAAGCGUGGGGAGCAAACAGG